rnacentral:rRNA from 1 species
ACACAUGCAGUCGAACGAUGAAGCCCAGCUUGCUGGGUGGAUUAGUGGCGAACGGGUGAGUAACACGUGAGUAACCUGCCCCUGACUUCGGGAUAACCUCGAGAAAUCGUGGCUAAUACCGGAUAUGACACGCAUUCGCAUGGGUGUGUGUGGAAAGAUUUAUCGGUUGGGGAUGGGCUCGCGGCCUAUCAGCUUGUUGGUGGGGUGAUGGCCUACCAAGGCGACGACGGGUAGCCGGCCUGAGAGGGUGACCGGCCACACUGGGACUGAGACACGGCCCAGACUCCUACGGGAGGCAGCAGUGGGGAAUAUUGCACAAUGGGCGCAAGCCUGAUGCAGCGACGCCGCGUGAGGGAUGACGGCCCUUCCGGGUUGUAAACCUUCUUUCAGUAGGGAAGGAAGCUCCUUCGGAGUGAACGGUACCUGCCAGAAGAAAGCGCCGGGCUAACUACGGUGCCAGCAGCCGCGGUAAUACGUAGGGCGGCAAGCGUUGUCCGGAAUUAUUGGGCGUAAAGAGCUCGUAGGCGGUUUGUCGCGUCUGCUGUGAAAACGCAAGGCUUAACCUUGCGCCUGCAGUGGGUACGGGCAGACUAGAGUGCGGUAGGGGAGACUGGAAUUCCUGGUGUAGCGGUGGAAUGCGCAGAUAUCAGGAGGAACACCGAUGGCGAAGGCAGGUCUCUGGGCCGUUACUGACGCUGAGGAGCGAAAGCAUGGGGAGCGAACAGGAUUAGAUACCCUGGUAGUCCAUGCCGUAAACGUUGGGCACUAGGUGUGGGAUCCAUUCCACGGGUUCCGUGCCGCAGCUAACGCAUUAAGUGCCCCGCCUGGGGAGUACGGCCGCAAGGCUAAAACUCAAAGGAAUUGACGGGGGCCCGCACAAGCGGCGGAGCAUGCGGAUUAAUUCGAUGCAACGCGAAGAACCUUACCAAGGCUUGACAUACACCGGAAAAGUGCAGAGAUGUGCUCCCCGUAAGGUCGGUGUACAGGUGGUGCAUGGUUGUCGUCAGCUCGUGUCGUGAGAUGUUGGGUUAAGUCCCGCAACGAGCGCAACCCUUGUCCUGUGUUGCCAGCACGUAAUGGUGGGGGACUCAUAGGAGACUGCCGGGGUCAACUCGGAGGAAGGUGGGGAUGACGUCAAAUCAUCAUGCCCCUUAUGUCUUGGGCUUCACGCAUGCUACAAUGGCCGGUACAAAGGGCUGCGAUACCGCGAGGUGGAGCGAAUCCCAAAAAGCCGGUCUCAGUUCGGAUUGGGGUCUGCAACUCGACCCCAUGAAGUCGGAGUCGCUAGUAAUCGCAGAUCAGCAACGCUGCGGUGAAUACGUUCUCGGGCCUUGUACACACCGCCCGUCACGUCAUGAAAGUCGGUAACACCCGAAGCCGGUGGCCCAACCCCUUGU